CCAUUGCGGAGUGCAGGCUCAGCGGCCAUGGCUCACGGGCCUAGCCGCUCAGUGGCAUGUGGGAUCUUCCCGGACCGGGGCACGAACCCGUGUCCCCUGCAUCGGCAGGCGGACUCUCAACCACUGUGCCACCAGGAAAGCCCCUCCAGGCCACCUGUUUUAUAAAAAAAGUUUUAUUGGAACAUAACCACACAAUCAUUUACGUACUUAUAGCUGUUUUUGUGUUACAAAGGCAGAUUUGAGUAGUUGCUACAGAGAUGAUGUGGUCUGCAGAGCCUAAAAUAUUUACUGUCUGGCCCUCACAGAAAAAGAUUGCCAACCCUGCUGUAGGUCAGGGUCUAUACACCCAGGAGGGGAAUUGCUGGGUCAUAGAAUAUGUGCAUCUUCAGUUUUACCAGAUGAUGCCAAAGUUGGUGUUACUUUUGUUUUUGUUUUUUAAUCUCAAAGUCUUGAAACAGUUUACCACCUACCAGUAAUAUAUGAGAAUUCACAUUACUCUGUAUCCUAGGGAAUACUUGAUAUUGUCAUGCUUAAAAUUUUUUGCCUGUUUGGUGAGCAUAAAAUAGUGUUUCAUAUGGUUUUAAUUUAAUUUUCCUUUUCAAGAUUAUUAAUGAGGUGCUUGAGCCUCAUUUCAUAUGUUCAUUGGCCAUUUAUGUUUUCUUUUCCAUGAGGUGUUUAGACAAGACUUUUGCCAGUUUUUCUGUAGGAUUGUCUUUCUGAUUGAUUUGUAGGAAUUCUGUAUUCAGGAUCCUAAUCCUUUAUCACUUGUAAGUGUAAGAACUAUUCCUCGUUUGUGAAUUGCUUUUUCUCUUUACUGUGUCUUUUAGUGGACAUGUAUUCUGAAUUCUAAUGUACCCUCAAUAUUUACUUUUAUGGAUAGUGCUUUUUGUAUCUUGUUUAGGAACCUCCUCUCUACUUGCAGGAUAUGAAAAUAUUCUCUAUUAUUUUUCUAAAGGUUUUAUAAUUUUGCCCUUAAUUCUUUAAUCUGCUUGGAUUUGAUUUUCAUGUGUGGUGGAGAUAGGGACUUCAAUAUACUGAAUUUUAAUGAAUUUGUGAAUUUUAAUUUAACUUGGGAAGUUCCGCCAUUAUUUCUUCACAUAUUUUUUUCAUCUAGAAUCUUUUUCUCCUCUUCCUCUGGGACUCCAGUGACACAAAUAUUAGGCCUGAGGCUGUGUCCAUUUUUUUCCUCUGUGUUUAAAUUGUAUACAUCAUAUAUAUAAUCUAUUUGCAUAUAAUAUGCAUACAUAAUAUAAAUUUUUUAAUAGAAGAGGUCCUAAUUUCAGAGAUUAUUUUUUCUUCUUAUAAACAGUUCAAAAGGAUUGGUUAUCCAAUAUCCCAUAAUGUAGGAAAUUAGAUUAGAAAGGAGUAUUGCUAUAGACUGUCAUAGUUAAUACUAACUGCAAAGAAAGAAGCAGAAAAGGUAUGAAGAAAGAUUAUAAGUUUGAAAAUGUACUUUAAAUUAUUUAAUUAGAAAUAUAAUAGCCUCCAGGGUGUCAUUUUAUCACAGUGCUUGCAGCACAAAGUAAUAUUUUCAGUGAAGACUGAGUCAUCUAGAAGUUGCUGUGUUAUAAUUAUAUGCCCUUGUUAAGAAGACAGGAAAAUAAGUGAUCCAUUUUAGAAAGAUUUACAUAAAACCAUUGAUAUUCAAAAGAUGCUAGAAUGUAUAGGCAUGCCUCGUUCUGAUGUGAGGCUGGGUAGCCAACUUUUAGAUAUUUAUAAUAGAAUAUCUCUGCAAAGGUAACAUGUAUUUCUUGACAGUUUAGAAGACAAAUUAACUAUGAUUCACUGUAGUAAAAGCAUGAGUGACUACUGUUGUAGUUUUAAAACUGUCAUAUUGGAUAUGAAAGUUUACUAGUUACUUUUUUUUUGCUUGCAUCUCUAAUAAAAGAGACCUUACUUAUGCCAAUAAAUAGAUUAGACUGAUGGAAAAGAAGUUUAUGGACUUCUUUCUCUUUUCUCUCUUUCUUCCUUUCUUUUUUAUUUCCCCCCCUUAAUGAGUUUAAUAACCCUUGGCAAUUUAUUUGUAGUUCAUAUUUUAACCCUCAAGGCUAGAAACUAUUUUGAGAAGGAGCAAGGAAGUAAGAGACUACCACAGUAUAAGGAAAAGGAAUCAAUGUACUUGCAUCAAGAAGGGGGAGUGGAAUUAAGCCCCCAGAAAAUAUAUAUAUUUACUGAACAUAUGUAUUCUUAAAAAGUUUAUUGUGAAUGCCCAUGUGGUACAUUAGAGAUUGGGAGAGAAAAACAUAACAAAGUUUUGAAAAUGGAAAGAGCAAGAGCGAUGGGUUCUAUCAAGUCGUCUGAGGAAGGAGCUCUAACUCCAGUUUGCUGCGUGCCCAGGAGUAACUCACCUAAUUUCACAGUCUUAGUUUACUUAUCUAUAAAAUGGCAGUAGGGGCUGUUGAUCUUUAAGAUAGUCUCUGUUCUAGCUUUUAUAAUCAAUGAAUGCAAAUUUAAGUUAAUUGCCUUAUGCUCUGAUAUGUUCCUUUAUGAAAUUGGAAUACUGUGUCUGAAGGAAACUUGCUUUAAGAAAUUAAGCUUCAGAAGCACUGUAUAUUAGCUUAAAUAUAAGUUUAAAUAACAUAUGAAAGUAACAUAUGAUACAUUUUUGUGAAAUUCAAAUAAUAUAGAAAUACACUAAAAAGCAAAAAUUUCCCUUUACCCUUAUCCUUCUAAUCUCACUUUCCAAGUCAAAAGUAACCCAAUUACCAGUUUGAUGUGUAUGCUUCUAGACUUUUUUCUAUGUGUACAUUAUAUACAUAUAUAAAUACGAAGUUUUUUGUUUAUUUUUUAGAAGUAUGUUUCGGUGUGUGUGUGUUUCAAUAAAUUAUUUCGUACAUUUUGUUCCCCAAUUUGCUUAUUUACUCCACUUGAGUCGUCUUAUAGAUCUUUCAAACUUCUGGUUUAUAUACUUAUUGUUUUUAAUUGCAUGGCUUUCUGUGGUGUGAACAUAUAGCUUAUUAACUCCAUCCAGGGACUUUAGGUCAUUUCCAAUUUUGUAGCAAUAAUAAACAGUGUAGUAAAGAACACCAGUAUACAAAAUAGUAACUUACUGAACCCUCACUGUAUGACAGUGCUGUGCAUUAUUUCACCUAAUAAUCUCAAACCUGAGAUAAGUACUAAUUAGCAUGAAAAAAUUACAUGAGGAAACCAGUCACAGAGCUGGUAAGUAGCAAACAGAUUUGUUCAGGCAGUGUAACACCAGAAUUUAUGCACAGUUCUACUUGCCUCUGAAAAGGUGAAGGGCCAAGAAAUUAGGAAGAUGUUACAGGGUUUCAGGGCUAUAAUCAACUACUAUGCCACUUUGCAUCUCUGUUGUUGCUGUUGCCUUAGCUUGAGUGACCCUGUAAUUGAUCAUUCAAACUGGGAAAAUUUAGAGAGAAAGAAGGAACGUUAUAAUAUUUUUACUGAGAUAGCAGACAUGUUUGUCCUGGACAAAUCGAGACACAUGAACACCUUACUCCUAGCCUAGGCCACCUUCACCUUUCACACGGGUUACUGCAUUACCCUCCUGCCUGUUCUCCUUACAUUUACUCUUAUUCUCUUCCAAUCCAUUCUCUCACAGAAACCAAAAUAACCUUUUUAAAACAGAAAUCUGAUUAUAUCACUUCAUAGUUUAAACCCUGUCUGGCUUUGUGAAGGAAUAUAUUUAUUCGGUCCUCCUGUGAUUAUUGUGAUGCAGCAUGAAAUAGAGUAAAGGGCACUUAAACUGAGUCAGGAGUCCUCUGUUUGAGUUUCAGAUAUCAAGACUAGUUUGGUGACCUUGGGCAAGCUAUUUAACUUCUCAAGCUGUUUCCUCAAAUACAAAAUACAGAUAGACUGAGGAGAGGGAUGAGGUCAUAAACAGGAAAGGUACUAUAUAAAUGCAGGACAUUGUUAAUAGUUAACUUUUUGCUUGUUAUGGCCUUUGAAAAAUUGUCCUUGUAUCUUAUCACAGUAUCUAGCAGGUUGUGGUAGGAUUUUUACAAGCUGAACCACCUUUCAUGUGACUGUCCAAGUUUUACAAAAUAAAAACUUUAGUCAUUUUUUAAAAAAUCAAAGUCUGUAAAAGUUAAGUGACUUACCAAAAGUAAAAGCUAGUUACCAUGCUGGUACUAAAACUAAAACCCAGGACUAUACCCUUGGCAUUAUAGUCUGAUAAUCUUUCCACUAGCCUUUGCUGCCUUCUCAAAAGAAUUAAGGAGAUCAUGUGUUUAUAAAAAUCACAUAAAUAUUUUACCUGUGAUUAUAAUUUAGAUAUAUAACCCACCUUUCAUAAAUUAAGAACAAUUUAGAAAGGCAUAUCUGUAUAAUUUACUGACUUAAUCAGGACCUUUGGCUUACAAGUGAUGGCUUGUAAAAAGAGAGUUUAUUAGGUUACAUAAUUAGCUAAAAGAAAUAUUAGAGUAGCUCUCAGAAUUGAAGGUCCAGGGCUUCAGAGACUAGAACUGGAACUCAGGGCAGACAAGACUCUUUAUCACUGACAGCCCUAGGUCUGUGUGUCCUUAUAGUUGAUAAACCAAGAAGGAUGGGCUACACCUCUCUCUCUCUCUCUCUCUGAAAUUUGGGAGGACUCCAUUUGGCCUAACCCAUAUCUCACAACCAUUUUAUGCUAGUAUUAGGUUGAAGCAUAUGAAAUUACCAAUAGUCCUAUUUUUACCAACUAAAAAGGUCACUUCCUUUGCUUCAACCUAUUAAUAGUGCAGGGUGGUAGAGAGGAGAAUGAGGCAUCCUAGAUUGACAGCCCUAAUGGAACCUCAAAAACUGGUGGAGUUCCACAAAACAGCUGGUGUUCUCCUACCAGAAGAAGGAAAAUAGGAAAGUAUUCUGGGCAGACAAAUAUAAUAGUAACCAUAGUGUAACACACAUACAGAGUAUGGAUUAGCUAGAAUUCAGCUAGAACACUCUGGAAAUGAAAAAGACCUCAAAUAUAAAAACUUCUAAAAGAAGAAGCUGAAUUGUUCUUAUUAGUCCUUUUCUUAAGCAUCUCAAAGUUUGACAUAUCUGCCUUUUAUGUAAUACAUGGGCCCAAAGCUCUCAAAUGAUACUUUUUGUACUUUGAAGUUGUGUGUUAAACAUUUAUUGAAUGUCGGACAUGUCCUGGGUACCUUCCUCAUAACAAUAUUUAAAGACAAAGAAACUGAGGUUCAAAGAGGUAAAAUAACUUUCCUAAGAUUACACAACUGAUUAACUAUGGUACUAGAAUUUGAAGUCUGAAUUGAAGAUAAAACCCAACUUUUCCUUCCAUUCCAGUACUUCUCCAAAUAUUGUCAUUGAAAUACCUCUAAAGACAGAAGAGAGUACAUAUGUAUGCCUGAGCUGUCUGUAGGCAUAUAAGGUCUUAAAUAUGAAUAAUGUUUAGGCAUAUAAGGUCUUAAAUAUGAAUAUGUUUACUGCUCCAUAAUAAAGGGUGAUAACUUUGGUUUUAAAAUGCUGAGGGUUUUGUUGUUGUUAUUUUAUUUAUUUUUUUGGCGGUAUGUGGGCCUCUCACUGUUGUGGCCUCUCCCGAUGUGGAGCACAGGCUCCGGACGCGCAGGCUCAGCGGCCAUGGCUCACAGGCCCAGCCGCUCCACGGCAUGUGGGAUCCUCCCAGACCGGGGCACGAACCCGUGUCCCCUGCAUCGGCAGGCGGACUCUCAACCACUGCGCCACCAGAGAAGCCCUGUUGUUGUUAUUUUUAACUCAAACUUUGAGUUAAAUUGUCUGCUUAAGAUGUCUGACACAUUAUCUCAAUAUGAGAAAAAUGGCACACUAUGUGUGUGAAUGACUGACCCAGUAUAUCUCACUUAGGUCAAACCAUUCUUCUGUGAGAACCUAAUUUCCCCCCUGAAUUUUCCUGCUUAUAGUGAAUUAGCCAAUAGCAAUUGAUCUUUUAUAAACAUUUGGAUUCAGAUUGAUCUAACAAAGUAGUGUACUCUCAAGUUACAUAGCUUUGGAAGUAGUUUGUAAUUGCUGUGUUACAGCCGAACUUUAUUUUGUCGUUGUUCUUGUUACAUACCUAAGGCAGAUAUUAGCUAUGUGCUGUAUAGAAACCACCUUUUUUUUUUUUUUUUUUUUUUAAAAGAGGUUGAGGCAUUGGGGAGAGAGAAGGAGCAGCAACAAGUCUUUUACUAAUUAUGUAGCCAUAUUUGGGGGGGGAGAUUCGGAGUAUAAUAAUAAAGAUAGAAGUAAAGAAUGCUUUCUGAUCAUUGAUGCUGAAUCUGAUACAUAAAACAAAAUUGAAGUGAUUUGUACUCCUUAUUUUCAUAAAUAAUUAUGAUAAUGAUAUAAUAAGUAAGAAGGAUGCUUUUGGGCUUCCCUGGUGGCACAGUGGUUGAGAGUCCGCCUGCCGAUGCAGGGGACACGGGUUCGUGCCCCGGUCCGGGAAGAUCCCACAUGCCGCGGAGCGGCUGGGCCCGUGAGCCUUGGCCGCUGAGCCUGCGGGUCCGGAGCCUGUGCUCCGCAAUGGGAGAGGCCACAACAGUGAGAGGCCCGCGUACCGCAAAAAAAAAAAAAAAAAAAAAAGAAAA